UCCGUAGGUGAACCUGCGGAAGGAUCAUUACCGAGUUCUCGGGCUUCGGCUCGAAUCUCCCACCCUUUGUGAACAUACCUCUGUUGCUUUGGCGGCUCUUUGCCGCGAGGAGGCCCUCGCGGGCCCCCCCGCGCGCUUUCCGCCAGAGGACCUUCAAACUCCAGUCAGUAAACGUCGACGUCUGAUAAACAAGUUAAUAAACUAAAACUUUCAACAACGGAUCUCUUGGUUCUGGCAUCGAUGAAGAACGCAGCGAAAUGCGAUAAGUAAUGUGAAUUGCAGAAUUCAGUGAAUCAUCGAAUCUUUGAACGCACAUUGCGCCCCUUGGCAUUCCGAGGGGCAUGCCUGUUCGAGCGUCAUUACAACCCUCAAGCUCUGCUUGGUAUUGGGCGCCGUCCUCUCUGCGGACGCGCCUUAAAGACCUCGGCGGUGGCUGUUCAGCCCUCAAGCGUAGUAGAAUACACCUCGCUUUGGAGCGGUUGGCGUCGCCCGCCGGACGAACCUUCUGAACUUUUCUCAAGGUUGACCUCGGAUCAGGUAGGGAUACCCGCUGAACUUAAGCAUAUCAAUAAGCGGAGGA
rnacentral:rRNA from 2 species